CUUUUUUUUUUUUCUUUUUUGUACUGGGCAUGGAACUUGGGACCUUGUGCUUGCAAGGCAGGUACGGUGCACUGAGCUGAAUCUGCAGCCCUGUGAACACCUGGAGAGUCUGUGUCUCAUAGAAGGGGUGGCUUCAGCCAGCACAUGCUGGUCGCAACAUCCAGACCAUCCUCACUCAGUUCUGCACACGUGUCCAGAAUAUAUGAAAAGUUCUAGCACCCGUGUUGAUUUCCUUCCCUGGGAAAAAAACAGCUAAGAAGAUCUCAAACUGCCUUGCCUUCGAGAUUUUUACCAUGUGCUUCAGGAGGUCCUGCAGGGACCCACGCAGUGUCCAAACCACAGGCAGCAAAGUCAGAGUGAUGCAUUCGCCAGAGAUGUGUUGGCAGCUGAUGAAUACUUGAUCAAAAAGGAAGUCAGAUGCUAUCUCUCCCUGGGCCUUCUCAGUAGGACUGAAAACUUCCUCCUCUCUGCUCCAUGGCACCUUUCUCUCUCACUCAACUUGUCUGAGUGUUGGAAAGCAGACUCAAGGUGAAUGAUUUCUUCUUGGUCAAAGAGCUAGAAGAUGACAGAUUCUGACUUGAACUCAGAACCCGUCUGCCCCAGAACACUGCAUUCAAUGGUCCUGCACUACCCCACUUUCUUCGUCACUCAUAGUUGAUCUACUACAAAGGUUCUAGAAUAUAAAAAAGCAUUUGUCUACCUUUCUUUGGAUUUCCCUAUCUAUGUGGGCAGUAUGGUAAGUGUUCUAUUACUAAGCAUAAGUGAAAUGAUCUCUAGUCUUUUACUGCACAGCCCUGCUCAUAAAUAUUUUUCUUUGACAAAGCAGCAUUAUUUUGCCCUAUAUUUCUGGCCACCAUCAGGAUCUGGGAUUCUGAUUUUACUAUUAUGUGGAGAAGACAAUUUUGAUUACUAGACAUAGCCAACAAUGAUAAGUAGGAUAGGCAGGCAGUGGUAAAGUCGGUGUACUUUAUACAAAGAAUGGAUCAUUU